rnacentral:rRNA from 1 species
CCUACGAGAGGCAGCAGUGAGGAAUAUUGGUCAAUGGACGAGAGUCUGAACCAGCCAAGUAGCGUGAAGGAUGACUGCCCUAUGGGUUGUAAACUUCUUUUAUAUGGGAAUAAAACAGGGUAUGCAUACCCUCUUGUAUGUACCAUAUGAAUAAGGAUCGGCUAACUCCGUGCCAGCAGCCGCGGUAAUACGGAGGAUUCGAGCGUUAUCCGGAUUUAUUGUGUUUAAAGGGAGCGUAGGUGGAUUGUUAAGUUUGUUGUGAAAGUUUGCGGCUAAACCGUAAAAUCGCAGUUGAAACUGGCAGUCUUGAGUACAGUAGAGGUAGGCGGAAUACGUGGUGUAGCGGUGAAAUGCUUAGAUAUCACGAAGAACUCCGAUUGCGAAGGCAGCUCACUGGACUGCAACUGACGCUGAUGCUCGAGAGUGUGGGUAGCAAACAGGAUUAGAUACCCUUGUAGUC